rnacentral:lncRNA from 1 species
GAGACAAUGGUUACUUCUUUUCAUGGAUUCUAAAUUCUAUCUGCCAGUCACUUUUUGUGUGUGCAUUCAUUGAGGGUGUACAGAAUGGAAUUACAGAGGCAGAAAAAAAUGAGGUCUCUGCCAAAUUGAUAGUUUAAAAAACAUUUUAGUGGCCUACUUAACUGUAAUUUGUUUUAGUUUUAAACAAGAAAAACCUCAGCAUGUAAGCAAAGCAGACUGGACUUGAACAGAUAUGGAAUGCAAAGCACACAGGAGAGUCAUGGGGAUCCUGAAGGGGGAUUAGAAGUUGGACAACUUUUUAUGCAAUGAACAACACUGCAUUGGAGGCAGUGGAUUAAACAGUAGUGCAUAUCACUUGGCUGAAGUGACAGGAAUAAAGAACAGAAUGCAUCCACUCCUCCAGUCUCAUUAAGCUGCCUCUUUCUCCUGAAAUUGGAUUGGGAUUCCAGGACACCUCUCAACCUACAGGAAACACUGGAUCUAAAGCUGAAACAGG